CUCGGGACCAGGAGCUGUCGGUCCCAGGGGUAGCUCUGUGGCAUUUUCUCCCACCUGAACUGAAGACUGAAGAGGAGCGGAGGGGCGUGUGCUGAAAGACCCCGUCUCUGAGGCACCGGUGAUGUGUUUACUGAACAAACACCGGAGACAUCAAGAUGGAUGUGUCCUUCCCGGCGCUCCGGCCCGUCCCUCCCAGGGACGGGGCCAAGCCAGCCGUGAUUUAAGCGCGUGCAGGGCUGCAACGGGAGACGCGCUUUUCCAACAGCAAUCGAGGCGAGAGAAUAAUGAGCACUGUGAGCCCCCGAAGAAGACUGGAACAGGUAAAAAUAUAAUCAUAACCGGACCAGAGUUGCUGUUGACUGAGGCAGAGCCGGAAGGGGUCCCAGCUUUUCCCAAGAGAAAUCGCCCACCGGAUGGAACGGGGU